CAACCCUUGUCACUAGUUGCCAUCAUUUGGUUGGGCACGUCUAGUGAGGACUGCCGGUGACAAACCGGAGGAAGGUGGGGAUGACGUCAAGUCCUCAUGGCCCUUAUGGGUAGGGCUUCACACGUCAUACAAUGGUCGGUACAGAGGGUUGCCAAGCCGCGAGGUGGAGCCAAUCCCUUAAAGCCGAUCGUAGUCCGGAUCGUAGUCUGCAACUCGACUACGUGAGGUCGGAAUCGCUAGUAAUCGCAGAUCAGCAUGCUGCGGUGAAUACGUUCCCGGGUCUU
rnacentral:rRNA from 1 species